rnacentral:rRNA from 1 species
UACGGGGGGGGCAAGCGUUGUUCGGAAUUACUGGGCGUAAAGGGCUCGUAGGUGGCCAACUAAGUCAGACGUGAAAUCCCUCAGCUUAACUGGGGAACUGCGUCUGAUACUGGAUGGCUUGAGUUUGGGAGAGGGAUGCGGAAUUCCAGGUGUAGCGGUGAAAUGCGUAGAUAUCUGGAGGAACACCGGUGGCGAAGGCGGCAUCCUGGACCAACACUGACACUGAGGUGCGAAAGCCAGGGGAGCGAACGGG